UCUACGGGAGGCAGCAGUGAGGAAUAUUGGUCAAUGGGCGGAAGCCUGAACCAGCCAAGUCGCGUGAGGGAUUAAGGCCCUGCGGGUCGUAAACCUCUUUUGCCGGGGAGCAGAGGUCCGGACGUGUCCGGGCCGGGAGAGUACCCGGAGAAAAAGCCUCGGCUAACUCCGUGCCAGCAGCCGCGGUUAUACGGAGGAUGCGAGCGUUAUCCGGAUUUAUUGGGUUUAAAGGGUGCGUAGGCGGGCAUUUAAGCCGGCGGUCAAAUGUCGGGGCUCAACCCCGGCCUGCCGUCGGAACUGGGGGCCUGGAGUGGGCGAGAGGUAUGCGGAAUGCGUGGUGUAGCGGUGAAAUGCAUAGAGAUCACGCAGAACCCCGAUUGCGAAGGCAGCAUACCGGCGCACUACUGACGCUGAGGCACGAAAGUGCGGGUAUCGAACAGGAUUAGAUACCCGUAUAGUC
rnacentral:rRNA from 1 species